rnacentral:rRNA from 1 species
CAGUCGUACCUUCGGGUAAUCAGCCUUUCGGGUGCGAUUCUGUGGAGUGUGAGGAGUUAAACACCUUCAUGUUUUGCAUAUUCGUACUCUUGGGUGUACUUACCCGUGUGGUUGGUUAACAUCAAUUUUGGUGGUCAUAAAAUGACUGGAGGAAUGUAGCUUCGAUCUCGUAUUGAAGUGUUAUAGCCUUCGGUAGAUGUGAUGAUCGAGAUUGAGGAUUGCAACGGAUACCCUUCGGGGCUACCUGUCUGAUCUCUGAUCGUUGCUCUGGUGCCGAAAGCUUGCUUACGGUUAUCAAAGUCGAUGGUCAAUAGGUUAGAACGGGUUAAAUUCGUUAAGGAUGUUGACGUAAUGGCUUUAAACGA